AGAGUCACAGUGAUGGUAAGAAGGUAGGAAAGGAAUGUAACAUUGAGGGUCUGGACGAUGAACUGGCCGGAGAAGAGGGAAAGAGCUGGAAGAAAGCAGUAGACAAUCAGGAAGAUAGAAGUGAAAGGAUAGAUUCCAACAUUGAGGUAUGCUAUCCUUUGGAGCAACUUCAUUUUUGGGCUGGCAAGGAGGGCAUUGUUGCGGGAGAAAAAGAUCUCAACUGAACCAGUAGCCCACCGUAGGACUUGAUGAAGCCUAUCUGUAAGAUUUAUCGGAGCAGUUCCACGGAAGGCAUCACGCUUGGUCACACAAUAAACAGAUUUCCACCCUCUAUUGUGCAUUCUAUACCCAGUGACCACAUCUUCGGUAACAGACCCAUAAAUCCACCCUAUACGCUGUCCCCAUUCAGUCUUGUCUUCAUACCAGCACGAGAUGACACUGAUAGCCUCUGCAACAGUUGAUGCAUCAAGAAGUUCACGAGGUAUGGUAAGAGCACCAGGUGGGCGUCCAUUCUUCACAGAGGGGUGAUCUGCAAGGGGACGACCUUGGAACUCUGCCACUGGAAUUGAAUCAACAAGGAAAGUUGAGUUACCAAACUUCUUAGGGAACAAAGAAAGGUUCAUCUCUUC
rnacentral:lncRNA from 1 species